UACUAUAUUUAAUAUUAAACAUUACAUAUUUGAUUAUUAAUAGAUAUAUGCUUUAAAUUCAAAGAAUUUGGCGGUAUUUUAGUCUUGUUAGAGGAACCUGUUUUAUAAUCGAUAAACCACGUAUAUUUUACUUACUUUAAAUAAUUUGUAUACCGUCAUUAUCAGAUAACUUUCAAAAAAUUAGUUAUUAAAAUUAAUAAAAUUAAAUAUAUUAGAUCAAGGUGCAGUUAAUAAAUAAGAAAAAAUGGGUUACAAUAAAAUUUAUUUAAUAAACGAAUUAUAUAAAUGAAAAAAUAUAUGAAGGAGGAUUUAAUUGUAAUUUUUUUUAAAAUAAUAAUGUGAUAAUAGCUCUAAAAUAUGUACAUAU
rnacentral:rRNA from 1 species